rnacentral:rRNA from 1 species
CAGUCGCCGCGGGAAUACAGAGGGUGCAAGCGUUAAUCGGAAUUACUGGGCGUAAAGCGCGCGUAGGUGGUUUGUUAAGUUGGAUGUGAAAUCCCCGGGCUCAACCUGGGAACUGCAUUCAAAACUGACUGACUAGAGUAUGGUAGAGGGUGGUGGAAUUUCCUGUGUAGCGGUGAAAUGCGUAGAUAUAGGAAGGAACACCAGUGGCGAAGGCGACCACCUGGACUAAUACUGACACUGAGGUGCGAAAGCGUGGGGAGCAAACAGGAUUAGAUACCCCUGUAGUCCCUGUCUCUUAUAC